rnacentral:ncRNA from 1 species
UUUAUAGGUGGUGAAGUGGGGACGAAGAAAGCUAGAUGAGCCAGGCGUUGGUUGUCCUGGUACGUGCAUGUAGGGGGGAAGACUUGGCAAAUCCGGUCUUCUAUCAACUCUGAGGUGCGACGUGGUUCUGACCCUUUUGGGUACAGAGAAGUCAUUGAUGCUCGGCUUCCAGGAAAAGCUGCUAGCCAUAACCUAUAGAGAACCGUACCGCA